AGUGAACGCUGGCGGCAGGCCUAAUACAUGCAAGUCGAACGGCAGCACAGCAGAGCUUGCUCUGUGGGUGGCGAGUGGCGGACGGGUGAGGAAUACGUGGGAAUCUGCCCAGUCGUGGGGGAUAACGUAGGGAAACUUACGCUAAUACCGCAUGCGCCCUUCGGGGAAAGCCGGGGACCUUCGGGCCUGGCGCGAUUGGAUAAGCCCACGUCGGAUUAGCUAGUUGGCGGGGUAAAGGCCCACCAAGGCGACGAUCCGUAGCUGGUCUGAGAGGAUGAUCAGCCACACUGGAACUGAGACACGGUCCAGACUCCUACGGGAGGCAGCAGUAGGGAAUAUUGGACAAUGGGCGCAAGCCUGAUCCAGCCAUGCCGCGUGAGUGAAGAAAGCCCUCGGGUUGUAAAGCUCUUUGUCCGGAAAGAAAGCGCCGGGUUAAUACCCUGGUGUCCUGACGGUACCGGAAGAAUAAGCACCGGCUAACUUCGUGCCAGCAGCCGCGGUAA
rnacentral:rRNA from 1 species